AACCUAGCACACCUGCGGUGUGUACCUGCGGAGGGAUCAUUACCGAGUCACGUGCUCAAACAACCCUUCUGUGGACCUGAAAUAAACCGUUGCCUCGGCGGGCGGUCCCCUGCUAAAAACCUACCUGGUGUAGGCAGGGGACCAGACAGUCCGGCACGCUUGAGGCGUCCGGCGCCAGCCGCUGGCCCUAAAAAAUUAAACUCUUAGUAACCUUACCUUCUGAGUUUUAAUACAAAAAAU
rnacentral:misc_RNA from 1 species